UACGUAGGGGGCAAGCGUUGUCCGGAUUUAUUGGGCGUAAAGAGCGUGUAGGCGGCCAGACAGGUCCGUUGUGAAAACUCGAGGCUCAACCUCGAGACGCCGAUGGAAACCGUCUGGCUAGAGUCCGGAAGAGGAGAGUGGAAUUCCGUGGUGUAGCGGUGAAAUGCGCAGAUAAUCAGGAAGAACACCGAUGGCGAAGGGCAGGUCUCUGGGCCAUUACUGACACUGAGAAGCGAAAGCAUGGGGAGCGAACAGG
rnacentral:rRNA from 1 species